GCCUGGGAGACAUACUUCUUUAUAUGCCCAUAUGACCUGGGAAGCUAUGGAAUGUAAAGAAGUAUGUAUUUCAGGU
rnacentral:pre_miRNA from 12 species